CUUGUCAAAUGUGUGAACUUGGGCGGCGAAAUGCUUAGUAAUACGGUCCAUAUAUCACAACCUCUGGGAAAUCCUUGUCAAAUAUGUGAACUUGGGCGGCGAAAUGUUUAGUGAUACGGCCCAUAUAUCACAACCUCUGCGAAAUCCUUGUCAAAUAUGUGAACUUGGGCGGCGAAAUGCUUAGUAAUACGGUCCAUAUAUCACAACCUCUGGGAAAUCUUUGUCAAAUGUGUGAACUUGGGCGGCGAAAUGUUUAGUGAUACGGCCCAUAUAUCACAACCUCUGGGAAAUCCUUGUCAAAUAUGUGAACUUGGGCGGCGAAAUGUUCAGUAAUACGGCCCAUAUAUCACAACCUCUGGGAAAGCCUUGUCAAAUAUGUGAACUUGGGCGGCGAAAUGCUUAGUAAUACGGCCCAUAUAUCACAACCUCUGCGAAAGCCUUGUCAAAUGUGGAUGUGAAGACCCCGAAGUGUUUGGGAAUAGGAGACCAGGAAGAGACGAAAGGAAGGGACUGGUGAAGAAAAGGAAGGAAGGAAGGAAGGAAGAUGAAGUAACGGAAAGAAGAAAGAAAAUGAUAAGAAAAGGGGGUGAAGGAUAGGAGAGAGAAGGACAAGGAGGGUGAUAGAAGCGGUAAAUAUGAAAAAAAACAAGAUUACAAGAAGAAUAAAAGAAGAAAACAAAAAGAAUAACGAAAGAAGAAAUAGAUAAGAAGAAGAAAAGAAGGUGAAGGAAAGGAGAGAGAGGGACAAGGAGGUUGGCAGAGGCGGUAAAUAUGAAAAAAAACAAGAUUACAAGAAAAAUAAAAGAAGAAAACAAAAAGAAUAACGAAAGCAGAAAUAGAUAAGAGGAAGAAAAGACGGUGAAGGAAAGGAGAGAGAGGGACAGGGAGGGUGAUAAAAGGUAGUGGGGAUGAAAACACGAAACCAAGAAAAUUAUAACAGGAAGAAUAAAAGAAGAAAACAAAAAAGACUAACGAAAGAAGAAUGCUACUAUGAGAUCACUAUCAUCAUAAUUAUCCCCAGUAGCAAGGUGGGUGGGCGUGGCAGGAGUGGUGGCGAUGGUGAUGGUGAUGGUGGUGGUGGUGGUGGUGGGUGGGUUUCCUAGCUCAUCAUCAUUUACAACCACCACCACCACCACCACCACCACCACCCACUGAGAUAGGAGAGGUAAAACAAUGGAAAAGGAGAAUAGGGAAGAUAGGUUAGACUUUGGGUGUGGCGGUGGUGGUGGUGGUGGUGGUGGUGAUAUAGUGGAGGUGAGUGACCCUAGAUAUUAUGUCCUCCUCCUCCUCCUCCUCCUCCUCCUCCUCCUGAAGGCCAAGGCUCCCGAGGCUCAGUGCAAAAAGUUAAAUGAAACACAAUACUCCGGCGGUCACCUGGAGGAGGAGGAGGAGGAGGAGGACGAAGAAGAGGAGGAAGGGUAGGAGAAGGAGGAGGCAAAGGAGAAAGAGGAAGAAGAGAAGAAAACAUAGAAACAUGGAAAGGCAGGCAACUUGACGCAUACUAACUCACUACAAGGCUGCCCACUCAGGUGCUUAAGGGGCUAUUACACUGGGCAAAUUCUCCGUGGAUCUUCAGUCAAACCACGAUUUCCGCUAGCGCGAUUCUCAUUUGUUUCUUGUUAUUGCUGCUGCUGAUGAUGAUGAGUAAUACCGUCGUCCUUCGGUGAAAUCUACCGUAGCUUUGGAAGAUCGUGGACACGUCAGAAAACCACGGAAAUAUGAGAACCACGCCAGCGGAAAUCGUGGUUUGACUGAAAAUCCACGGAAAAUUUGCCCAGUGUAAUAACCCCUUUAAUCCACUCGACAGUCACUUGGCGCCGCUGAGCAGACCACAACACCUCGGCACGCACGUUGAUUCACUCCUGUUGCAACGAAGUAAAGGUCGAUGCAACUGAUGAAGAAGUCGAUGGUUCCAGCACUUACUACUUCAGCGGGGAGGUUGUUCCAGUAUCGGAUAACUCGGUCUGAAAAGAAGCUCCUGCCAGCGUCAGUAUUUUACAUCGCCUCGCUUGAGUAGGCAGACCACUGUUUCUAGUUCUUUUAGCGUUGGUUUGUACCUCGAAAAACUUGUAGUGGUUGACAUUACUGAACUACCACUCCACUCUCCACCACAGAGGGAGAGAAAGAUCUGGGGACUUUAAUUAUGUUACCAGGCUACCAGUGAAGGCGAAAUCCAUUACCAAUCGCAGCGGACGGAGUAAGCGGAUCGAGACGCUUGUGUGUGGCGGGGUGAAGUUACCAGUUGACGAGGUGGAUGAAAAAGAGGAAAUGUUUGUGGAAGGAGCAACAGAUGAUACAGAAUUGAAGGGGCGAAGGUGACAGUUGACGAGGUGGAUGAAAAAGAGGAAAUGUGUGUGGAAGGAGCAACAGAAGAUAGAGAAUUGAAGAGAGGAAGUUGGCAGUUGAUGAGGUGGAUGAAAAAGAGGAAAUGUGUGUGGAAGGAGCAGCAGAAGAUAGAGAAUUGAAGAGAGGAAGGAGAAUGAAAAAAGGAAGUAUAAAAAAAAUAGAAAACAAAAUAAAACAGAGGAAAACGAAAAAUAAGUAAAAAAAAGUUAAAAAAUAGCAGAGAGAGAGAGAGAGAGAGAGAGAGAGAGAGAGAGAGAGAGAGAGAGGAUUUAGCUAAGAGUUACAACAUAAGUCGGGACAAGAAAAGCCUGAAGAUAUUUUUAGAGACUUUGGAGAGAGAGAGAGAGAGAGAGAGAGAGAGAGAGAGAGAGAGAGAGAGAGAGAGAGAGAGAGAGAGAGAGAGAGAGAGAGAGAGAGAGACGGCAGAUUAUGUGAACGAGGAAAUAUAAAAAAACAAACAAAAAAAGGUAAGAUAAGAAAAUUAAAAAACAAACAAAAAAAACAUGUACAAAAAUAAAGAUAAAGAAGAUAAAUAAAAUAGAAAAAAGUUAACAAAAAGGAAGAAGUUAACGAACAAAUAAAUGAAGGAAAGAAGAAGAAAAUGGAAAUGGAAAGAAGAGACGAGAAGCAAGGAGAGAAGAGGAGAGGAAAAAAAGUAGAAACAGAGAAGGAAGAAAAAAUGGGAAAAGAAGGAAGAGAAAGAAAGGAAGAGAAAGGGAGGAAAGGGAAGGGAAGAAACAGGAAGAAGAAAGAAGAAGAGAAAAUGGGAGGAAAAGAAAGAAAGGAUGAAAGGAAAAGAGAUAAAAAUGAAGAAGAGAAGGAUAUAAAAAAAGAAGAAAGCAAGGGAGAGAGAGAACGAAAGAAGGAGGAAAAGACAAAAAUAGAAAAGGGAGGAAGGGAGCACACGAUAAAUGAAGAAGGGGAGAGAAAGAAGAAGGGAAAGACGAAGGGAGUGAAGGGAGGAAGACAUUAAUAAAGAGAAAGGGAGGGAAGGGAGAACACGAGAAAGGAAGAAAGGGAGGAAGGAAAUGAAGGGAAAGAAGAGAGGAGGAAAGAAAAAAAUAGGUACGAAAGAAAGAAAUGAACAGAAAAAGGAAAAAAAAAGCAAAUUAGUGAAAAGAAGGAGAGAGAGAGAGAGAGAGAGAGAGAGAGAGAGAGAGAGAGAGAGAGAGAGAGAGAGAGAGAGAGAGAGAGAGAGAGA